CCUACGGGUGGCAGCAGUGGGAAAUAUUGCGCAAUGGGCGAAAGCCUGACGCAGCGACGCCGCGUGAGGGAUGAAGGUCUUCGGAUCGUAAACCUCUGUCAGCAGAGAAGAACGGUCACUGUGCUAAUCAGCAGUGAAUUGACGGUACCUGCAAAGGAAGCACCGGCUAACUCCGUGCCAGCAGCCGCGGUAAUACGGAGGGUGCGAGCGUUAAUCGGAAUUACUGGGCGUAAAGCGCUCGUAGGCGGUAUGUCAAGUCAAGGGGGAAAUCCCCGCGCUCAACGUGGGAACUGCCUUUGAAACUGGCAAACUGGAGUGUGUGAGAGGAUAGUGGAAUUCCAGGUGUAGGAGUGAAAUCCGUAGAUAUCUGGAGGAACAUCAGUGGCGAAGGCGACUAUCUGGCACAUAACUGACGCUGAGGAGCGAAAGCGUGGGUAGCAAACAGGAUUAGAUACCCCAGUAGUC
rnacentral:rRNA from 1 species